rnacentral:ncRNA from 1 species
CCCCCGCUCGCUUCACAACGGAUCGUCCGGCACGUACCUGCCGGUGAAGGAGAAGAAA